GCCCUCGUAGUUCAAUGGAUAGAACGCCGGACUUCUAAGCCGGAUAUGUAGGUUCGAUUCCUACCGAGGGCACCA
rnacentral:tRNA from 1 species